AUGAACGCUAGCUACAGGCUUAACACAUGCAAGUCGAGGGGCAGCAUGGUCUUAGCUUGCUAAGGCCGAUGGCGACCGGCGCACGGGUGAGUAACACGUAUCCAACCUGCCGUCUACUCUUGGACAGCCUUCUGAAAGGAAGAUUAAUACAAGAUGGCAUCAUGAGUCCGCAUGUUCACAUGAUUAAAGGUAUUCCGGUAGACGAUGGGGAUGCGUUCCAUUAGAUAGUAGGCGGGGUAACGGCCCACCUAGUCUUCGAUGGAUAGGGGUUCUGAGAGGAAGGUCCCCCACAUUGGAACUGAGACACGGUCCAAACUCCUACGGGAGGCAGCAGUGAGGAAUAUUGGUCAAUGGGCGAGAGCCUGAACCAGCCAAGUAGCGUGAAGGAUGACUGCCCUAUGGGUUGUAAACUUCUUUUAUAAAGGAAUAAAGUCGGGUAUGGAUACCCGUUUGCAUGUACUUUAUGAAUAAGGAUCGGCUAACUCCGUGCCAGCAGCCGCGGUAAUACGGAGGAUCCGAGCGUUAUCCGGAUUUAUUGGGUUUAAAGGGAGCGUAGAUGGAUGUUUAAGUCAGUUGUGAAAGUUUGCGGCUCAACCGUAAAAUUGCAGUUGAUACUGGAUAUCUUGAGUGCAGUUGAGGCAGGCGGAAUUCGUGGUGUAGCGGUGAAAUGCUUAGAUAUCACGAAGAACUCCGAUUGCGAAGGCAGCCUGCUAAGCUGCAACUGACAUUGAGGCUCGAAAGUGUGGGUAUCAAACAGGAUUAGAUACCCUGGUAGUCCACACGGUAAACGAUGAAUACUCGCUGUUUGCGAUAUACUGCAAGCGGCCAAGCGAAAGCGUUAAGUAUUCCACCUGGGGAGUACGCCGGCAACGGUGAAACUCAAAGGAAUUGACGGGGGCCCGCACAAGCGGAGGAACAUGUGGUUUAAUUCGAUGAUACGCGAGGAACCUUACCCGGGCUUAAAUUGCAGAUGAAUUACGGUGAAAGCCGUAAGCCGCAAGGCAUCUGUGAAGGUGCUGCAUGGUUGUCGUCAGCUCGUGCCGUGAGGUGUCGGCUUAAGUGCCAUAACGAGCGCAACCCUUGUUGUCAGUUACUAACAGGUUCCGCUGAGGACUCUGACAAGACUGCCAUCGUAAGAUGUGAGGAAGGUGGGGAUGACGUCAAAUCAGCACGGCCCUUACGUCCGGGGCUACACACGUGUUACAAUGGGGGGUACAGAGGGCCGCUACCACGCGAGUGGAUGCCAAUCCCCAAAACCUCUCUCAGUUCGGGCUGGAGUCUGCAACCCGACUCCACGAAGCUGGAUUCGCUAGUAAUCGCGCAUCAGCCACGGCGCGGUGAAUACGUUCCCGGGCCUUGUACACACCGCCCGUCAAGCCAUGGGAGCCGGGGGUACCUGAAGUGCGUAACCGCGAGGAGCGCCCUAGGGUAAAACUGGUGACUGGGGCU
rnacentral:rRNA from 1 species